GAGUUUGAUCGUGGCUCAGGACGAACGCUGGCGGCAUGCCUAACACAUGCAAGUCGAACGGAGAUUAUUUCGGUAAUCUUAGUGGCGAACGGGUGAGUAACGCGUAGGCAACCUGCCCUUUAGUUGGGGACAACAUCCCGAAAGGGGUGCUAAUACCGAAUGUGAUCGCUUUUCCGCAUGGAAGAGCGAUGAAAGAUGGCCUCUAUUUAUAAGCUAUCGCUAAAGGAUGGGCCUGCGUCUGAUUAGCUAGUUGGUGGGUAACGGCCUACCAAGGCGACGAUCAGUAGCCGGUCUGAGAGGAUGAACGGCCACAUUGGGACUGAGACACGGCCCAGACUCCUACGGGAGGCAGCAGUGGGGAAUCUUCCGCAAUGGGCGAAAGCCUGACGGAGCAAUGCCGCGUGAGUGAUGAAGGAAUUCGUUCCGUAAAGCUCUUUUGUUUAUGACGAAUGUGCAGACUGUG
rnacentral:rRNA from 1 species